AAUAAGGUGGCAGAUUAGUGCACUAGGUUUAAGCCCUAAUUAUGAAGAUGAAAUUUCUUCCCUUAUUU
rnacentral:tRNA from 1 species